rnacentral:lncRNA from 1 species
UGUGUCUUUACUUUGCACUAUGCAAGUGUCCUGCUGUUAUGAUAAGAAGUAAUAGAGUAAACUUGUAACCUAGCCAUUGGAGGUUGCCCCAAAGACAAGGCAGAAACAAUAACAUGAAAAUGUUUAGAGCAGUAUUUUGUUGAUCAUGCCAGAUUCCUGUCCCACCCCAAGAGAUCACACAUCUAGAAGGAUGGAUUGGAUCUUCUGUCAUGGAGGAUAAUACAAGAAGUGUGUUUAUUUAACAUUUCAUAAUUGGUCUAAGGGCUACAAUAUCUUCAUGUCACCUCAUAACCUCCCCAUAGUGAGUCUUUCACAGUGAAUGACUAUUUGUUUGUAGGAUUAGAGAACUUCAAUCUUGCAAACAUCAGCAGAAUCUAGUUCAUGCAAUUCUUUGGACUCUGGAGGCCAGUAGGUGUUCCAAGUUUAGGUGCAGGUGUGAUGAUUCCAUAUGGGGUAGCAAAAAAACAAACAAACAAAAUCAGAGUAGAAUGUAAUUAUCCUAACAUCCCGGUCUAUGCCAUAUAGAGACCAAGCAAUUCAAAUGUGCAGACUCCUUGUGGUAACUUGUGGACUCAAAUGCAUUCUUAAGCUUGAGAGCAGAGGAAGGCAAAAACCAGACCGAUUCACCUAUCACAUGUUUCCUUUCCCAGGCUCAUUCAUUUGUGUCAGUGAGGACUGAGGAAUGAUGAGAAUUAAAAUCAUGGUUACUUGGAGGUGAAAGUUGUAAGACAAAGAGUAUGUGGGAAGAAUGAAAAUAACAGUUCUAUUGAAACAAGGAAUGAAAACUCUGCCCCUAAGCUGACAUGGUUUAUGACUGACGAUGUCACCAAAUUGUGGAGAAGCACUCAUUAACAUAACUGAACAAUAGUUUUGAAAGCUCUUGUACAAGAUACAAGUAGCCAUAAGACUUACUGGCCUGGUGUGUGGAGACUUCAGAGGAGGUAGGGCAACUCUUCUAGGUGCCAUGAGCAAGCCCCAUUAAACUAAAGAAAUCAAAUCACCUCAUUCUUAAAGUCUUGAGAAGAUGAGAUAAACUUAAAAGCUUUCAACUGUGAAAGAACAGAAACAAAGCUCGCUGGAGAGAUGGGAUCUGAAUAGUCAAAUCAUUUUGAAUAGGCACUAUGUACUUGGGAACUUCUGCAUGAGCAAGUGAUUCUUGGAUAUUCCUGUAAAUCCAUUCUGAAUAUGACAAUGAAACUAAAGCCCCCAAAAGCCAAAAGAAACUGCCCAAGGUGACAUAGCUGCUGAGUGAUGGAAUGGGGACUAGAUCAAACUCUAAAAUCAAAGAGCAUGCUCACAAUUACCCAUUAAGAGAACUAAAGGAAACAAAAUUCUCCAAUCUAUUCUCCCUGUGCACAUUAAAAUUAAAACAAUGGUGUUGCAUUUUUCAAACAGUUAUGUACUGAUAUUAUACCAAGAUGCAAGCACGGGUGGAUUCCUUAAUUGUAAUAGGUAUAAGUAAUAUAAUGCUAAAAUGCAAAUUUUGAAUCCCAUUCUGUCUUCCAACUAUUAUCUCUGCCAAAUUCUUUCACAAUUCUACAUUAAUACAUAUUACACAUUUUGGAAAAUUUAAUAUAUAAGGCUACUGUUUGUAUUAUAUUUGAAAUUAGUUAUGUUAGCCAUUAAUAUUUACACUGUUUCACGAUCCUAAAAAUAUCACUAUCUUGUCUUACUAAAAAAAAUUGAAAAUGGAGUCAUUAAAAAAAAGUGAAAAAAAAACCUCUCAAAGAGUAAAAAAUCUAAAAGCUAUGCCUUUAGGAGGAGGUGAAAAUUAACUAGUGUCAUCUCAAGUAUGAACACACAUGGCUUCUUCACACUUAAUUAGAAAACUAGAAGCACUUAAGCCAAAGCAUUCAAAAGAACAAUGUGUCAGAGUCAGAAUUAGUUAUAAUCGGUUAGCUUGUGCUAUUAACAUUGCCUAGCUUCUUUUCUGAGUCUACACAGUAGAUGUCUGUUUUUCUCUUUUUUUUUCCCCAACAUCUAAUUUAUCAAAAACUCAGCCCCAAUAAAAGACAUGGUUGUGUUACAGUGUUAUAUGAAAGAAAAAUACUUUGUUGGAGUUAGGGUUCCCCUAGUGACUAGUUAGUGAGCUUGAACAAGUGAAGUAAAUUCCAUAUGACUCAGUGAACCUCAUAUCUAUAGUAUGAAAAAAAAAAACCAUGGUACUUCUUUGUGUUCUUUUGUCACAGAUUAAUAUUUUAUUUUCUUACACAUAAAAUAAGUUUAGGAAAUAUUCAUUUAACCUGAAAUAUUAAUUUAAAAAAUGCAUUUGGUAUUACAGUUAUCCAUGUACUAAUUUGCCUGAACCUAGAGAAAAGUGUAAAAAGUGUUUACAAUUUUGAAAGUCCUAGUGGAAAGAUUUUGUUUUUACUUAGUUUUAUUUUAUUUUACUUUUUUUGUAAUUUUAUUUUUUUCACACCACAUAAAUACAAUGACACAGGAUACCAUUUUUACAGCUGUGCAUUGUAUACUCUUAAAUUAUAAACUUUUAAAUACAUUUUAAAUGAUAGAAAAGUAUAU